UGUGUGUGUGUGCAGACAGAGACAGUGUUACGUCAGGCCAUUGCUGAGAGGAUCAAGCCAGUUCUUUUCAUGAACAAAAUGGACCGUGCCUUGUUGGAGUUGCAAUUAGAACAAGAAGAUCUGUACCAAACCUUCCAGCGUAUUGUCGAAAGUGUGAAUGUAAUCAUUGCUACGUACAGUACUGAAGAUGGAAUAUCCAGGUAUAUAGAUUUGAGUUCUUCCAAAUUUAAAUUUCCUUCCAAUUUCAAGAAAAUUUACAAGUUGGCCAAGUUUCAGAAAAUGGCGAGAUGGUUUGACACAACAGAUGUGGCUUCAGAUUAUAUGUACUUUCAACAAAUUCAAUGUUGCCAUUAUUUGUGACCAACGCUAAUUCUUUGAAAUUGUCACAUUUCUUGUUAUUCUGACUUUCUAGCUGGAGCUAGGAGAAAGCACCGCAACUCAGGAUAGAUAGAAGAUAGGAAUUUUUAUUUAUACACGCUGACCCUGUCACCCGAAACUGAUUUCCAUGAAUGGCGUGUGCCAAAUUUUUUUGUGCCAUUUUUUUAGAUGUACUCAUACAAGUGAUAUUUAGAGCUAAUUUACAAAAUAUAUAAG